rnacentral:rRNA from 1 species
UACAGAGGUGGCAAGCGUUGUCCGGAAUCACUGGGCGUAAAGCGCGCGCAGGCGGUCAUCUACGUCUGGGGUGAAAGCCCCGGAGCUCAACUCCGGGAUUGCCUUGGAUACGGGAUGACUUGAGGAUCGGAGAGGCAAGGGGAAUUCCGACGUGUAGCGGUGAAAUGCGUAGAGAUGUGGAGGAACACCUGUGGCGAAGCGCCUUGCUGGCCGAUUCUGA